rnacentral:rRNA from 1 species
UACGUAGGUGGCAAGCGUUGUCCGGAUUUACUGGGCGUAAAGAGCGCGCAGGCGGUCGUUCAAGUCGCGUGUGAAAGCCCCCGGCUCAACUGGGGAGGGUCAUUCGAUACUGAUCGACUGGAAGGCAGGAGAGGGAAGCGGAAUUCCCGGUGUAGUGGUGAAAUGCGUAGAUAUCGGGAGGAACACCAGUGGCGAAGGCGGCUUCCUGGCCUGUUCUUGACGCUGAGGCGCGAAAGCUAGGGGAGCAAACGGG